CCUACGGGCGGCAGCAGUGGGGAAUAUUGGACAAUGGGCGAAAGCCUGAUCCAGCCAUGCCGCGUGUGUGAAGAAGGCCUUCGGGUUGUAAGGCACUUUCAGUGGGGAAGAAAGCCUUGGGGCUAAUACCCUCGAGGAAGGACAUCACCCACAGAAGAAGCACCGGCUAACUCCGUGCCAGCAGCCGCGGUGAAUACGGAGGGUGCGAGCGUUAAUCGGAAUUACUGGGCGUAAAGCGCGCGUAGGCGGUCUGAUAAGCCGGUUGGGAAAGCCCCGGGCUCAACCUGGGAACGGCAUCCGGAACUGUCAGGCUAGAGUGCAGGAGAGGAAGGUAGAAUUCCCGGUGUAGCGGUGAAAUGCGUAGAGAUCGGGAGGAAUACCAGUGGCGAAGGCGGCCUUCUGGACUGACACUGACGCUGAGGUGCGAAAGCGUGGGUAGCAAACAGGAUUAGAUACCCGGGUAGUC
rnacentral:rRNA from 1 species